rnacentral:rRNA from 1 species
CAGUCGCCGCGGUAAUACGGAGGGCGCGAGCGUUACCCGGAUUUACUGGGCGUAAAGGGCGUGUAGGCGGCCUGGGGCGUCCCAUGUGAAAGGCCACGGCUCAACCGUGGAGGAGCGUGGGAUACGCUCAGGCUAGAGGGUGGGAGAGGGUGGUGGAAUUCCCGGAGUAGCGGUGAAAUGCGCAGAUACCGGGAGGAACGCCGAUGGCGAAGGCAGCCACCUGGUCCACUUCUGACGCUGAGGCGCGAAAGCGUGGGGAGCAAACCGGAUUAGAUACCCGGGUAGUCCCUGUCUCUUAUAA